rnacentral:rRNA from 1 species
GACGAACGCUGGCGGCGUGCCUAAUACAUGCAAGUCGUACGCUUCUUUUUCCACCGGAGCUUGCUCCACCGGAAAAAGAAGAGUGGCGAACGGGUGAGUAACACGUGGGUAACCUGCCCAUCAGAAGGGGAUAACACUUGGAAACAGGUGCUAAUACCGUAUAACAAUCGAAACCGCAUGGUUUUGAUUUGAAAGGCGCUUUCGGGUGUCGCUGAUGGAUGGACCCGCGGUGCAUUAGCUAGUUGGUGAGGUAACGGCUCACCAAGGCCACGAUGCAUAGCCGACCUGAGAGGGUGAUCGGCCACAUUGGGACUGAGACACGGCCCAAACUCCUACGGGAGGCAGCAGUAGGGAAUCUUCGGCAAUGGACGAAAGUCUGACCGAGCAACGCCGCGUGAGUGAAGAAGGUUUUCGGAUCGUAAAACUCUGUUGUUAGAGAAGAACAAGGAUGAGAGUAACUGUUCAUCCCUUGACGGUAUCUAACCAGAAAGCCACGGCUAACUACGUGCCAGCAGCCGCGGUAAUACGUAGGUGGCAAGCGUUGUCCGGAUUUAUUGGGCGUAAAGCGAGCGCAGGCGGUUUCUUAAGUCUGAUGUGAAAGCCCCCGGCUCAACCGGGGAGGGUCAUUGGAAACUGGGAGACUUGAGUGCAGAAGAGGAGAGUGGAAUUCCAUGUGUAGCGGUGAAAUGCGUAGAUAUAUGGAGGAACACCAGUGGCGAAGGCGGCUCUCUGGUCUGUAACUGACGCUGAGGCUCGAAAGCGUGGGGAGCAAACAGGAUUAGAUACCCUGGUAGUCCACGCCGUAAACGAUGAGUGCUAAGUGUUGGAGGGUUUCCGCCCUUCAGUGCUGCAGCUAACGCAUUAAGCACUCCGCCUGGGGAGUACGACCGCAAGGUUGAAACUCAAAGGAAUUGACGGGGGCCCGCACAAGCGGUGGAGCAUGUGGUUUAAUUCGAAGCAACGCGAAGAACCUUACCAGGUCUUGACAUCCUUUGACCACUCUAGAGAUAGAGCUUCCCCUUCGGGGGCAAAGUGACAGGUGGUGCAUGGUUGUCGUCAGCUCGUGUCGUGAGAUGUUGGGUUAAGUCCCGCAACGAGCGCAACCCUUAUUGUUAGUUGCCAUCAUUUAGUUGGGCACUCUAGCAAGACUGCCGGUGACAAACCGGAGGAAGGUGGGGAUGACGUCAAAUCAUCAUGCCCCUUAUGACCUGGGCUACACACGUGCUACAAUGGGAAGUACAACGAGUCGCGAAGUCGCGAGGCUAAGCUAAUCUCUUAAAGCUUCUCUCAGUUCGGAUUGUAGGCUGCAACUCGCCUACAUGAAGCCGGAAUCGCUAGUAAUCGCGGAUCAGCACGCCGCGGUGAAUACGUUCCCGGGCCUUGUACACACCGCCCGUCACACCACGAGAGUUUGUAACACCCGAAGUCGGUGAGGUAACCUUUUGGAGCCAGCCGCCUAAGGUGGGAUAGAUGAUUGGGGUG